rnacentral:rRNA from 1 species
CGUGUCGUGAGAUGUUGGGUUAAGUCCCGCAACGAGCGCAACCCUCGCCCUUUGUUGCUACCGGACCAUGCCGGGCACUCUGAGGGGACUGCCCCGGUGAACGGGGAGGAAGGUGGGGAUGACGUCAAGUCCUCAUGGCCUUUAUGUCCAGGGCUACACACGUGCUACAAUGGUCAGGACAAUGGGUCGCUCCCUCGUAAGAGGUUGCCAAUCUCAAAAACCUGGCCCUAGUUCGGAUGGUUGGCUGCAACUCGCCGCCCUGAAGCUGGAAUCGCUAGUAAUCGGAGAUCAGCACGCUCCGGUGAAUACGUUCCCGGGCCUU